GACGAACGCUGGCGGCGUGCUUAACACAUGCAAGUCGAACGGACAGACCCUGCUUUUGUUGCUUUCUCGUUUGGCGAACGGGUGAGUAACACGUGUGUAUCCUGCCCCUUACUUUCUGAUAACUUCUGGAAACUCGGGCUCAUACCGCAUAUGAUCUCCUGCUCCAUGUUGGUGGUUGGUAAGUUUCGGCUGUUGUGGAUGUACUCGCGGCUUCUCCGCUUCUUGGUGGGGUUGUGGCUUACCCAGGCUUCCACGGGUAGCCUGCCUGAGAGGGUGACCGGCAACAUAGGGACUGAGAGAAGGCCGAGACUGCUAAGGGAGGCAGAAGGGGGGAAGAUUGCACAAGGGGCGGAAGCCUGAUGCAGAAACGCCGCGUGCGGGAUGACGGCCUUAGGGUGGUAAACCGAUUUCGCAUGUGACGAAGCGUGAGUGAAGGUAAUGGGUAAAGAAGCACCGGCUAAAUACGUG
rnacentral:rRNA from 1 species